GACGAACGCUGGCGGCGUGCUUAACACAUGCAAGUCGAACGGUAAGGCCCUUCGGGGUACACGAGUGGCGAACGGGUGAGUAACACGUGGGUGAUCUGCCCUGCACUUCGGGAUAAGCCUGGGAAACUGGGUCUAAUACCGGAUAGGACCACUGCCUGCAUGGGUGGUGGUGGAAAGCUUUUGCGGUGUGGGAUGGGCCCGCGGCCUAUCAGCUUGUUGGUGGGGUGAUGGCCUACCAAGGCGACGACGGGUAGCCGGCCUGAGAGGGUGACCGGCCACACUGGGACUGAGAUACGGCCAAGACUCCUACGGGAGGCAGCAGUGGGGAAUAUUGCACAAUGGGCGCAAGCCUGAUGCAGCGACGCCGCGUGAGGGAUGACGGUCUUCGGGUUGUAAACCUCUUUCAGCACCGACGAAGCGCAAGUGACGGUAGGUGCAGAAGAAGGACCGGCCAACUACGUGCCAGCAGCCGCGGUAA
rnacentral:rRNA from 1 species